rnacentral:lncRNA from 1 species
UUUGGAAAAUGUUUAUCUGGCGUGACUAGGGGAGGCAAAGCAAGGAAACAGGAACCUCCCUCUAAGGAGCAGAAUAGCCAACAUGCAGGGGCGCCACUCGCUUUGAAGUGCAGACGAGGAGGCGCGGGCGCGAGCGUGUGUGUCUGUGGGGCUGCUGUGGGACUGUCUGUGCUAGGAGAGCGGCGGAAAACCCGGCGUGGAGCGCCUGCAGUCCGCCGUCCGGGGUCGCGCCCGCCGCGGGGCUCAGGAGGGACCGGCACGCAGGCGCGCACGGCCGCGCACCUGUCUCGCUAGAACCCCGCGCGCCCCGCCGAGCCACUGCCCUCCAGGUUGCCCAGACCGCUGGAGCCUCUGCGACUCCACGACCGGCUGCUUCCUGCGAAGUUUCACAAACAAGGAUGUGAAGUUGAUGGCUGGAGUCGGAGCAGCCAUAUUGGAUGGUUUGAUUGAAAAUGGCCCAUGGAGUACAACCACCUGGGAACAUAUCCUCGAGAAAGACAGUUGAGGCUUAUUGCCUAAACCACAGGCUACUGAAAACUUGGCCAAAGGCGACUACUCUAGACUGGUGACUUCAAAAGUGCUGAUGAAUACAGUGAACCAUGAAAGAUGCAUUAUUUGUUUUGAACAUUUUACUAUGAUUGAUGACCCAGAUUUGGCAAGUUAGUUCACUCCCAGUGGAGAUGAAAGUUUCACUGCCUUCUUUCUUUCAACAUUCUUGUUGAGACAGAUUUCACUUUUAUUGGCCAAUGUACUAACAAAUCACUUGCAUUUGCAGCAUAAUGAAUUCAUUAGCAACACUGUGGAUCAAUGCUAUACAUAAUAUUCCUGAGUCAACAUUAACUCUUAAUUAAACUUCCUUA